UGGGGAGGCAGGUAGCCUAGUGGUUAGAGUGUAGAGGAGGCAGGUAGCCUAGUGGUUAGAGUGUAGAGGAGGCAGGUAGCCUAGUGGUUAGAGUGUAGGGGCGGCAGGUAGCCUAGUGGUUAGAGUGUAGAGGUGGCAGGUAGCCUAGUGGUUAGAGUGGAGGGGCGGCAGGUAGCCUAGUGGUUAGAGUGUAGAGGAGGCAGGUAGCCUAGUGGUUAGAGUGGAGGGGAGGCAGGUAGCCUAGUGGUUAGAGUGGAGGGCGGCAGGUAGCCUAGUGGUUAGAGUGGAGGGGCGGCAGGUAGCCUAGUGGUUAGAGUGGAGGGGCGGCAGGUAGCCUAGUGGUUAGAGUGGAGGGGUGGCAGGUAGCCUGGUGGUUAGAGUGUAGAGGAGGCAGGUAGCCUAGUGGUUAGAGUGUAGAGGAGGCAGGUAGCCUAGUGGUUAGAGUGUAGAGGUGGCAGGUAGCCUAGUGGUUAGAGUGUAGAGGUGGCAGGUAGCCUAGUGGUUAGAGUGUAGAGGAGGCAGGUAGCCUAGUGGUUAGAGUGUAGAGGGGAGGCAGGUAGCCUAGUGGUUAGAGUGUAGGGGCGGCAGGUAGCCUAGUGGUUAGAGUGUAGAGGUGGCAGGUAGCCUAGUGGUUAGAGUGGAGGGGCGGCAGGUAGCCUAGUGGUUAGAGUGUAGAGGUGGCAGGUAGCCUAGUGGUUAGAGUGGAGGGGAGGCAGGUAGCCUAGUGGUUAGAGUGUAGAGGUGGCAGGUAGCCUAGUGGUUAGAGUGGAGGGGAGGCAGGUAGCCUAGUGGUUAGAGUGUAGAGG
ensembl:lncRNA